rnacentral:rRNA from 1 species
AGGAUUAACGCUGGCGGCGUGCCUAACACAUGCAAGUCGAACGAGGUAGCAAUACCUAGUGGCAGACGGGUGAGUAACGCGUGGUCAACCUACCGUUGAGUGGGGGAUAACUAGCCGAAAGGUUAGCUAAUACCGCAUACGAGUUUCGGGGGCAUCCCUGAUUCUUAAAAGGAGCAAUCCGCUCGAUGACGGGACCGCGUCCCAUUAGCUAGAUGGUGGGGUAACGGCCUACCAUGGCACCGAUGGGUAGCUGGUUUGAGAGAGCGACCAGCCACACUGGGACUGAGAAACGGCCCAGACUCCUACGGGAGGCAGCAGUGAGGAAUUUUCCGCAAUGGGCGAAAGCCUGACGGAGCGACGCCGCGUGUGGGAAGAAGGCCUUCGGGUCGUAAACCACUGUCGAAGGGGACGAUAAUGACGGUACCCUUGGAGGAGCCCGGCUAACACGUGCCAGCAGCCGC